rnacentral:piRNA from 1 species
CUCUCAAAUUUUAAUGUGCACCCAGGGAGC